AUUGAACGCUGGCGGCAGGCCUAACACAUGCAAGUCGAACGAGUGGCGGACGGGUGAGUAAUGUCUGGGAAACUGCCUGACGGAGGGGGCUAACUACUGGAAACGGUAGCUAAUACCGCUUACCACCAGCUGUGCCCAAGUUGAAUUAGCUUGUUGGUGGGGUAACGGCUCACCAAGGCGACGAUCCCUAGCUGGUCUGAGAGGAUGACCGGCCACACUGGAACUGAGCCACGGUCCAGACUCCUACGGGAGGCAGCAGUGGGGAAUAUUGCACAAUGGGCGCAAGCCUGAUGCAGCCAUGCCGCGUGUAUGAAGAAGGCCUUCGGGUUGUAAAGUACUUUCAGCGGGGAGGCGUUACCCGCAGAAGAAGCACCGGCUAACUCCGUGCCAGCAGCCGCGGUAAUAC
rnacentral:rRNA from 1 species